GGAGGAUUUUGUGGGAAUGAAUGGGAGUGUUUUACUAUAUAUUACAUGGUGGAUUGGUUGUUCUUCAAAACCGUGUGGGCGAUACUAUGUGUGUAAAAUUCAUUAAAACUUCAGUUCUACUUCACCCUCAAUUUGGAGUGCCGUCUCUUAUUGGGGGAAUCUGCUACAAGGGAUUGCUAUGCUAGUCAUACUCCCUUGUUAUAUCACUACUAAGCUCUUGUAAGAGCUUGUUCCUGUCUUGCUCUCUGAAGGAGUCUAUG